GAUGAACGCUGGCGGCGUGCCUAAUACAUGCAAGUCGAGCGAACAGACGAGGAGCUUGCUCCUCUGACGUUAGCGGCGGACGGGAGAGUAACACGUGGAUAACCUACCUAUAAGACUGGGAUAACUUCGGGAAACCGGAGCUAAUACCGGAAAAUAUAUUGAACCGCAUGGUUCAAUAGUGAAAGACGGUUUUGCUGUCACUAAUAGAUGGAUCCGCGCCGCAUUAGCUAGUUGGCAAGGUAACGGCUUACCAAGGCAACGAUGCGUAGACGACCUGAGAGGGUGAUCGGCCACACUGGAACUGAGACACGGUCCAGACUCCGACGGGAGGCAGCAGUACAGAAUCUUCCGCGAUGGACGAAAGCUUGACGGAGCAACGCCGCGUGAGUGAUGAAGGUCUUCGGAUCGUAAAACUCUGUUAUUAGUGAAGAUCAAAUGUGUAAGUAACUAUGCACGUCUUGACGGUACCUAAUCAGAAAGCCCCGGCUAACUACGUG
rnacentral:rRNA from 1 species